rnacentral:tRNA from 1 species
GGGCGAGUGGCGGAAUGGUAUACGCAGGGGACUUAAAAUCCCCGGGGGGAAACUCCGUGCGGGUUCGACUCCCGCCUCGCCCA